UACGUGAGGGGCAAGCGUUGUCCGGAAUCAUUGGGCGUAAAGAGCGUGUAGGCGGCCCGAUAAGUCCGCUGUGAAAGUCCGAAGGGCUCAACCCUGGAAUGCCGGUGGAUACUGUCGGGCUCGAGUUCGGAAGAGGUGAGUGGAAUUCCUGGUGUAGCGGUGAAAUGCGCAGAGUAUACAGGAGGAACACCAAUGGCGAAGGCAGCUCACUGGGACGAUACUGACGCUGAGACGCGAAAGCGUGGGGAGCAAACAGG
rnacentral:rRNA from 1 species